UGUGGGAGCUGGCUUGCCAGCGAUGCAGUCAACGCGGUCUGUCAGUGAAACCGCUGCGAUGCUAUCGCUGGCAAGCCAGCUCCCACA
rnacentral:antisense_RNA from 1 species